UGGGGAAUAUUGGACAAUGGGCGCAAGCCUGAUCCAGCCAUGCCGCGUGAGUGACGAAGGCCUUAGGGUUGUAAAACUCUUUCGUCGGGGACGAUAAUGACGGUACCCGAAGAAGAAGCUCCGGCUAACUUCGUGCCAGCAGCCGCGGUAAUACGAAGGGAGCUAGCGUUGUUCGGAAUCACUGGGCGUAAAGCGCACGUAGGCGGAUAGUUAAGUCAGGGGUGAAAUCCUGGGGCUCAACCCCAGAACUGCCUUUGAUACUGGCUGUCUCGAGGUCGAGAGAGGUUGGUGGAAUUCCUAGUGUAGAGGUGAAAUUCGUAGAUAUUAGGAAGAACACCAGUGGCGAAGGCGGCCAACUGGCUCGAUACUGACGCUGAGGUGCGAAAGCGUGGGGAGCAAACAGGAUUAGAUACCCAUGUAGUCCCUGAGCGGGCUGGCAAGGCGCAU
rnacentral:rRNA from 1 species